rnacentral:lncRNA from 1 species
UAGUGAUGACAUUUCUUUAACAGUCAAAGGAGCAGGUGGGAUUGGCUUUAGACUGACUUCACAUCUCUGCUCGAGCAGGUCCCUGCUCAAGGGCCUCGUAACCACCCAUGGCCACUGGCUGCUGCCCUGGACCGUGCAGGCCUUGAGCUCCCAGGGCCAUCCUGGGGCAGGGGCUGUGCCAGGCACCAACAUGGCUUGUUCUCCAAGGUGGCCCACCUGGGGCGCUGGCUGCUGACUCCUGGCCCAUCGCCUCACAGGUACAAUGCCAGGGAGUACUACGACCACCUGCCCGAGCUGAAGCAGGCCGUGGACCAGAUCAGCAGUGGCUUUUUUUCUCCCAAGGAGCCAGACUGCUUCAAGGACAUCGUGAACAUGCUGAUGCACCAUGACAGGUUCAAGGUGUUUGCAGACUAUGAAGCCUACAUGCAGUGCCAGGCACAGGUGGACCAGCUGUACCGGAACCCCAAGGAGUGGACCAAGAAGGUCAUCAGGAACAUCGCCUGCUCGGGCAAGUUCUCCAGUGACCGGACCAUCACGGAGUAUGCACGGGAGAUCUGGGGUGUGGAGCCCUCCGACCUGCAGAUCCCGCCCCCCAACAUCCCCCGGGACUAGGCACACCCUGCCUUGGCGGGACCAGCGGGCAUUUGUUUUCUUGCUGACUUUGCACCUCCUUUUUUCCCCAAACACUUUGCCAGCCACUGGUGGUCCCUGCUUUUCUGAGUACCA